rnacentral:sRNA from 1 species
AAAACUAGCAAUAAGAAUAAUCAAGAUGAAGAACUCUAAGAAUAAUACUAAGGGGUUUUCGAUCUACUAAUCCAUCUAAAUCCCUAUUGAGACUCCCUAAACCCAACAAGGUGAUUACUCAGACAUGACAAUAUAAAC